rnacentral:rRNA from 1 species
AUUGAACGCUGGCGGCAUGCCUUACACAUGCAAGUCGAACGGCAGCACGGGAGCAAUCCUGGUGGCGAGUGGCGAACGGGUGAGUAAGGUAUCGGAACGUGCCCAGUCGUGGGGGAUAACGUAGCGAAAGUUGUGCUAAUACCGCAUACGUACUGAGGUAGAAAGUGGGGGACCUUCAGGCCUCACGCUAUUCGAGCGGCCGACGUCUGAUUAGCUAGUAGGUGAGGUAAAGGCUCACCUAGGCGACGAUCAGUAGCGGGUCAGAGAGGAUGAUCCGCCACACUGGGACUGAGACACGGCCCAGACUCCUACGGGAGGCAGCAGUGGGGAAUUUUGGACAAUGGGCGAAAGCCUGAUCCAGCCAUGCCGCGUGUCUGAAGAAGGCCUUCGGGUUGUAAAGGACUUUUGUCAGGGAGGAAAUCCCUAGUGCUAAUAACACUGGGGGAUGACAGUACCUGAAGAAUAAGCACCGGCUAACUACGUGCCAGCCGCCGCCGUAA